rnacentral:rRNA from 1 species
AUGAGACAGAACGGCAUGGCACACUUAAUAAUCUUCUUGUUCCUUUUCAGAUGCCUUGCAUCGACAACUGAGUGUCGUCUUAUGCAAGGAAGGAGCUACUCAGAUGGGCUUACAAACACAAAUGACGGCAAUGGUACCGUGGUUGACUCGAGCAAGCUUUCCUUGAUAAUCUGCUUCCGAAUAAAGUGUGACGAUGACCGUCGUCGUGUUUGUUACUCCUGCCCGGCCCUGCCGAACAACCCAAAGUAUCCAUCGUUGGACGACUGCAAGGCAGCAUGCCCUGCCUGUAGCCCCAAGUGCACAUCCUAUAAUUAG